GCAAGGAAGCCGACAGAACCGUAAGUGAAGACCUGGAAACUGAAAUUCGCAUCCAGGAGGAAAAUGCCAUUCCCUGCGGCAGGACAUCGUAAACCUUGAAGUAGAGCCUGAUCUAACGAGCUCCUAGUGGUGCUGGGAAAUGAAAUGUGCCACCUCUUCACUGUUGGUGCAGUGCACGCCCCAGGGUGUGCCAAGCAGACACACUGAAACAGGAGCUCAGUGGCCAAGGGGGAGAAGCAACGCCCACUGCCCAGCCUCAAAGCCACAGAGAGACCAGGCAGGACUCGGGCCUGCAGGGAGCCACCAGGGCCAUCAGGCGGCCCUGUGAGCUGUGUUUCUGGAGGCGAAGGUCCAAGCCACCCACUCCCUUUCAGGCUCCUGGGUGGGUCUCCGACGUGGGAGCUGCAGCCGCUGUGCACUUGAAAGCGCUGCUCCACACCUGUCUGCAGAACCAGCUGCGACACAGCGAUCAAAAACCUCCCAGGAGGAGACAUGAUUAUGAGCAUUUUCAUCUUUGAAACCCUGACUUCUAAUCCGCCGGUCAAGUCUGUCCCCAACCACGUCUUGAAAAGUCACUAAGAGCUUGAACUUGUGAUCCUUCUGCCUCAACCUCCCAGAGUGCUUGGAUAUGGAAGACCCUGACGUUGUCCCUCUCAGCCCCCCUGUGGCACCAUGUCCCAUGAGUAGAAGCCGAAGGACACAGCUGACCACCCUGUCCAGCAGGACCUGUGGGACCCGUCAUCUCUCUGCCCAGCUGCCACUCGCUGAACCCCUUCAACAUCACAGAGCAGGAUGGCCAGGCCAGAUGCUCCUCUUACCACCCAGGGACUGAGGAGACUCCGGUCUUCCUGCAGCAUGGGUUAAGCAAACAUUCAGUAAGGACAGAGCAGCAGAGAAGAUUAGUAAGAGAAGUAAUUAAGCUGAGAACAUCAAGUCAAACAAAUUAAAAAUACCAUUCCGCA